ACAAUUCGUCCACUGUUUUAAUAAUGAUCAAACAUAGGAGAUUUAUAGCGUUAGAAAUUUUGGUAUAGGAAGUCUUGGAAAAAGAAUUUAUCUCUAGAAGCAUGGACAGCAUAAAAUGAAGUUAAAGGCCAGGGCAUGACCUCUACCUGUCACCAUUCUCCGACAGCAAAGAAAUGUGGGAGUACACAAGUCUUCCACAGCAUAUGAAGAGAGAAAGAAGUAGAUUUUCCAAAGAGAACAAAGUAUAUGCAGAAUCCAAAGUACAGGGAAGAAGAGGGAUAAUUUAAUUAAAUUAAUUGUAUAUUCUUUUUUUUUUAAAUUGUUUUAUUUUCAAAACGAGUUUACCUUAUUCUAAGGGGCUGUUCUUAAACAUAAUUAGCUACACACAUGGUACUGCUGAAGAUGUGCUUGUAUUUUAAGUUCUUUCAAUUUGCCUUCUUUUGCUUUGCUCGGUUUUCAACGUUGAGGAAUGGAUAAAUUUAAAUAUUUUUAGGAUUACAACAAUUCAAAAUAGUGUGUUUAGCAUUAUUAAAAAUAAUAUUUAUUUAUUUUUA